AAAAAAAAAAGAGUCAAUUGAACCCCCUCUUUACUUGGUGGAUCCGCCGCUAUUCACAAUCAUACUUCCUGUGAUGCCAAGGCUAGAGAAGAGAGGUUUUGGCUUGCUUCUAAUUGUGUAAUCUCACCCAGCCUUCAUUAUUUAUUUUUGCUUUUCCUAUUCGCGAAAUUAGUUGAGGGAAAAGAAGAGCUAAACUGCUGCAAUCUCACCUUCAAAGAUUCUCGCAGUUGCUGGUGAACUCUAUUGCAAGGAGGGAGAGUUUGAAGGUACAAGCUGUUUACAAACCUAUGAAUCGAUGUUGGACCAAUAUGUUAACUUCUAGAAAUCAGGUAUAUUUUUCUCUUCCAGUGUCUAUGAGUUUAUAUACCUCUAUUUCCAAUAUUUUGAAAGUUUUUUUUUCCUUUGAAUCAUGGCCGAUAUCUGAGUUUACCAUCUUUGAUUGGAAAGAAUAGAAGGGUAGUUUUUGGGUUACAAUAGAGAUUGUCUUUGGAGUAGGCUUCAAGGUUGGAACAGAAGAUCUUUAUCCAAAGCAGGAAAACAGAUUCUUAUUAAAGGUGUUGCAUAAGUUUUGCCUUUAUAUUGUAUGAGUGUAUUCAUGAUUCCUAUCACAUCUUGUAUGGAGUUCAAGCAUAUAUUAAACCCAUUUUGGUGGGGUUCAAAGUCAAAUGAUUACUAUGGUAGUCAUUGAUUAUGUUAAGAAUCUCACGUCGACUAAAUAGUAAAUCUAAAGAAAAGGUUAUAAAGUUUGGAAGCUGGUUAACUAAUUA